rnacentral:rRNA from 1 species
CAGCAGCCGCGGUAAUACGUAGGUGGCAAGCGUUGUCCGGAAUUAUUGGGCGUAAAGCGCGCGCAGGCGGAUCAGUCAGUCUGUCUUAAAAGUUCGGGGCUUAACCCCGUGAUGGGAUGGAAACUGCUGAUCUAGAGUAUCGGAGAGGAAAGUGGAAUUCCUAGUGUAGCGGUGAAAUGCGUAGAUAUUAGGAAGAACACCAGUGGCGAAGGCGACUUUCUGGACGAAAACUGACGCUGAGGCGCGAAAGCCAGGGGAGCGAACGGGAUUAGAUACCCCCGUAGUCCCUGUCUCUUAUACC